rnacentral:rRNA from 1 species
CCCUUAGAUGUUCUGGGCCGCACGCGUGCUACACUGAGUGGAUCAGCGGGUCAGGUUGCGCGAAAGCGUUUCCUAAUCUUUAAAUCCGCUCGUGAUGGGGAUUGACGGUUGCAAUUUUCUGUCAUGAACGAGGAAUACCUUGUAAGCGCGGGUCAUCAUCCCGCGCUGAAUACGUCCCUGCCCUUUGUACACACCGCCCGUCGCUCCUACCGAUUGAGUGGUCCGGUGAGGCUUUGGGAUCUGAGCGGAAAGAGCGUUUCGCUGUUUCUGCUCGGAAAACUCAGUCGAACCUUAUCAUUUAGAGGAAGGAGAAGUGGUAACA